rnacentral:rRNA from 1 species
GCUGGCGGCAGGCCUAACACAUGCAAGUCGAGCGGUAGCAUUUCUAGCUUGCUAGAAGAUGACGAGCGGCGGACGGGUGAGUAACGCGUAGGAAUCUACCUAUUGGUGGGGGAUAGCCCAGGGAAACUUGGAUUAAUACCGCAUAAGCUCUUAGGAGGAAAGCGGGGGAUCUUCGGACCUCGUGCCAAUAGAUGAGCCUGCGUAAGAUUAUGCUAGAUGGUGGGGUAAUGGCCUACCAUGGCGACGAUCUUUAGCUGGUCUGAGAGGAUGAUCAGCCACACUGGGACUGAGACACGGCCCAGACUCCUACGGGAGGCAGCAGUGGGGAAUAUUGCACAAUGGGCGCAAGCCUGAUGCAGCCAUGCCGCGUGUGUGAAGAAGGCCUUAGGGUUGUAAAGCACUUUCAGUGGGGAGGAAAGGUUAUAAGUUAAUACCUUAUAGCUGUGACGUUACCCACAGAAGAAGGACCGGCUAAUUCCGUGCCAGCAGCCGCGGUAAUACGGAAGGUCCGAGCGUUAAUCGGAAUUACUGGGCGUAAAGCGCACGUAGGCGGCUAGGUCAGUUGGGUGUGAAAGCCCCGGGCUCAACCUGGGAACUGCAUCCAAUACUGCCUGGCUAGAGUACGAGAGAGGG